AGCCCCGAUGGGGCGGGGUUCCUGGAGAUUGGGGGCCCAAGAGCUCCGCCAGGAUAAAUGAGCGGGCUGCCGGCUGCAGACAGGGUCCCUGACCUCCAGGCAAGGUCCAAGAGGAGCUCUCUCCACCCUCUUGCCAGUUUCCAGGAAGAAGAACAGAGCAGGAGCUCAGGAGGAUUAGCAGAGAGAACCGAAAAGAGCCAAUACGAGCCAGUAAAGCCACUGCACGGGGCCGCCAGCCUCAGAUGGUCAAAGCCCUACACAAGAUGGCAUUUGGGUGUUUUGCGAUUGUUUGCUUUUGCUGAGAAUAGAAGACUGGAUGCAGAAAGCCAGCACCAAAUAAACAGAAGAGGAAGAAUAGAGGGGACUAUGGGUGUGAGAUAGGGGCAGGGUGGCAUAUAGCAACCCAAUGUCUUCCCAAGUGGGAAAGCAAGGAGCGUGAUGGGCGUGGAAUACCCAGGAGACCGUCUCUCCAUCCUGGUUCUGGCAGAUCCCAGCCUUGGGCCUUUGCAGGGCCUGCAGAGGUAGCCACAGCUCUCCCACUCCAGAGGCCUGUGUGGCCUGCUCCUUCCUCCAGGCCUACACCCCAGCUGUCACCACCAUCCAUCAACCCCGCUCCUCACAGGAGCCCCCACAUCACGUUCUACUCCUCCUCUCCUUUCUCCCCCGGCCCAGCCCACCUGGGCAUCUAUCUUCCUGUAGAAAAGAGGCAGGCAGAGCUGAGGGGCCUUCCCAAAGAAGCCCCCAUCACCGCCUCAGAUGAAGUGGUCCCUGCUGAGUGCUUUGCUGGGGUCUACGAGGCAAUUCAAGAUGAGAAAUGGAACGGUGGCUUCGGAAAGGCAAAUCAUUCCAACAGCACCUGAAAACAUCGAAGGAAACAAGCUCUUUUUGUGUGUGUGGAAAUGGGGAAUAUAUUGUUUCUCACUGUUUGGAAGACUGUUUUCCCAUCUUGAAAUCACAGGCUGUUUUCUUCCAGAGAGACUUAUAAAUACAUCCAAUUAUCGACAUUCAAUAUAAGAAAUAAAGUUCUGAAAUGGUUUUCUUCAGCACACGCAGAGUGAGCCGACCAGGUUGGGCAGGUGAUAAUUACUUUUAUUUCUUACGAGUGGGUAUCACCGCGGAGUGGCUGGAAGCUUCACCUUUUAUUGCCUUCACCUUUUAUUACAUUUCCCAUGUUGUGCAGGGCUAUUCAUUGGUAAUUUUAUUAUCCCAUAUCAAGAUCUUGAUUUAAAAAAAGGAUGAAAUUUCUAAUUUCAAAAGAUAUGAGUGCAAAGUCCCAGAGUAGGGGGAUUUGGUCCUAUACCUUGUGACCUGAAGAGCAACCCUCCAGGGGGAUGGACUGUCCUUGUGCCCAGCUCCAAGUGACUGAAUGUCACUGACUAGACAGUGGGUGUCUGCUGGCAUUCACAAUUGUUCCUUUUUUUUUUUUUAAAUAGAGAUGGGGCCUUGCUUUGUCACCCAGGCUGGAGUGCAGUAGUGUGAUCAUAGCUCACUGCAGCCUCAAACUCCUGGGCUCAAGCAAUCCUCCCGCCUCAGCUUCCUGAGUAGCUAGGACUACAGGUGUGCCCCACCACGCCUAGUUAAUUAUUUUUAAUUUUGUAUUUUUUGUAGAGAUGGGGUCUCACUAUGUUACCCAGGCUUGUCUCAAACUUCUGGCCUCAAGGCGUCCUCCUACCUCGGUCUCCCAAAGCUCAGGAUUGCAAGGCAUGUGCCACUGAGCCUGGCCUCAACUGUUCCUUUUAGGGACUCUGCUCAGGGUGUCAUUUUAAGAAGGAUGCUUGUCAUUUUAGGAUGGUGUCAUUUCUUUUCUUUUCUUUUUUUUUUUUUUUUUUUUUUUGAGAUGGAGUUUUGCUCUUAUUACCCAGGCUGGAGUGCGAUGGUACAAUCUCGGCUCACCACAACUUCUGCCUCCUGGGUUUAAGCAAUUCUCCUGCCUCAGCCUCCGGAGUGGCUGGGAUUACAAGUGCCCGCCCCCACACCUGGCUAGUUUUUUGUAUUUUUAGUAGAGACGGGGUUUUGCCAUGUUGGCCAGGCUGGUCUCAAACUCCUGACCUCAGGUGAUCCACCUGCCUUGGCCUCCCAAAGUACUGGGAUUACAGGCGUGAGCCACUGCACCUGGCCAGGAUGGUGUCAUUUUAAGAAGCAUUUCAUGAAAGCACCUGCCGGUCCUUCUGUCCAUGCCACUAUCAAGAUGAGAUCACCUGUGUCUCCUCCCUCUCUAUCCACUGGGAUUGCUCCUGACCCCACCCCUGUCUGCACUACCUCCUCAAUGUCUUGUCUCUCCUCCAGCCUCUCCCUUCCCGUGGCUCUUUUGCUGCUCACCUGCAUAACUACUUGGCUGCAGUCCCUUCUCAUUCUGAGCCCCGACUUGUCAAGAUUUUUCUGUAGCAAGCAGCUCCUGAGUCUCACCUCAAGUAGAAGAGGGAUACAUUCAAAUGCUGUCCAGUUGCACAGUUGCAGGAGAGGCAGACUCAGAAAACAGGCAGAGGCAGGGAGGCUGGCAGCUGAGUGCACCACCAGGCUACCCCCAGGACAUGGCAGCUGGCACAGCUGCUCAGACCCUUGCCAUCACCUCUGCCUUUGGGCAUAACUGGGACUGAUACAGCAUCCUGGCUUCACCCCCUGCAUGCUCAAAGUGCUUGAUGGACAGUACAGCCAGUUGCAGUGCCCAAGUCUCAUGCCCACACCUUGGCUAUCAUGUCCCUUUUGGCUUCUGCUGGGGGUGGGGAUGUGUGUGUAUGGGGUGAGAUGAGGUGGGGGUAGAUACACAAAACCCACCCCCACAAGUAAAACCUUGAAAAGUUUAGCUUGGAUAAAAGCCUGAAUAUUUCAAUCAGAAUGUCUAGAAUGCAGCUAUUUUCGUUUUAGCAUAAGUGUGAGUUUCUUGUUUGAUGGUUUGGUGUAAUUUAAAUUUUUGAUUUACAUGCUGGGGGACAGGAUACACAAUUUUCUUCUUUUUUUGAGUGAUGGGGGGACAGGGUCUCCUUCUGUCGCCCAGGCUGUAGUGCAA